rnacentral:misc_RNA from 1 species
CAUUCGUUUAGUCCGAAGGUGGAAGUGGCUUCUGCCUCGGAGCGGUAAUACACCCGCUGUCGUUGUCGUGGUGGGCGCGUAUGCCACUCCGUCUUUUCCCUGGAUGGGCCCCAUCGACUUCAAGGCCCAGGGCCCACUUAGGCAAUGAGUCAUUCGAGCGCACGGCAGCAGGGGGCGGGCGAGAAGGAAGAGAUCAGGCGCAUCAAUCGUGAGUUGCAGCGCAACCUCAUCUUGGAAACAGCCUUGAUUGCCUUCGCCCUUGGUGUGCUGGCCUUGGCCGGCGUACUUCUCGCUGCACAUGGAUGGCACACGCACAACGACAGCCUAUUCGCUCUUGGGCUGUAUAUUCUUGCUGUGCAUAUUGCCUUCCAUGUCCUGGAGUUCCUUGUUGCCGCGUUCACUCGCCCUCACGACACCCACCCGGAUGCCUUCAUGGUGUUUCACUCGAUACCGUACCUCAUCGCGAGUGGAACUGCGCUGCUGGAAUUUUUUGUGGAGGCAUACGCCAUCCCUGAGAGGUGGAAACUGGACCCCACUCGCCAUACGCUGCUUGGUUUUUUCUUGCGAGUGAACUACACCUCGGCGCUGCUCUUCACAUUUCUUGUCCUUGUUUUCUACGGCAUCCGCGUCGUGUCAAUGCUGCAGUGCGGCUCCAACUUUUCCCUCAUGAUUGAGCAUGAGCGGCACUCCGGCCAUCAGCUUGUAACGCAUGGCCUGUACCGAUAUCUGCGCCACCCGGCCUACUUUGGAUGGUUUUGGCGCACGUGUUGCGCGCAGUGGAUUCUGGCAAACCCGGUCUCCGCCGUGGUCCACACGGGGGUAACCUGGUACUUCUUCCGGUCCCGCAUCGCCUACGAGGAGGCCACGCUGCAGCGACCAGACUACUUUGGGGAGGCGUACAAGAGAUACAAGGUGCGCACCAUCGUCGGGAUUCCGUUUUUGUAAGCAGCGUCUGCUUCAUGAGGCUGUAUACUCGCCGUGCAUCGCGCCUUGGCGGAGCGUCAGAAAGGAGACUGAGGCCUGCGCCGCGCGUGUUGUGUGUGCGUGUGUACCUCUAUGGAGCUCCUCUUGUGCUAUGCCCUCACAACACUGACGCGUCGUAGUGCAGAGCCAAAACGCGCACCGAUGAAGUCAUAAAAAAGCAAGAUCAGUAGAG